rnacentral:rRNA from 1 species
CCUACGGGGGGCAGCAGUGGGGAAUAUUGGACAAUGGGCGAAAGCCUGAUCCAGCCAUGCCGCGUGUGUGAAGAAGGCCUUCGGGUUGUAAAGCACUUUCAGUGGGGAAGAAAGCCUUGGGGCUAAUACCCUCGAGGAAGGACAUCACCCACAGAAGAAGCACCGGCUAACUCCGUGCCAGCAGCCGCGGUAAUACGGAGGGUGCGAGCGUUAAUCGGAAUUACUGGGCGUAAAGCGCGCGUAGGCGGUCUGAUAAGCCGGUUGUGAAAGCCCCGGGCUCAACCUGGGAACGGCAUCCGGAACUGUCAGGCUAGAGUGCAGGAGAGGAAGGUAGAAUUCCCGGUGUAGCGGUGAAAUGCGUAGAGAUCGGGAGGAAUACCAGUGGCGAAGGCGGCCUUCUGGACUGACACUGACGCUGAGGUGCGAAAGCGUGGGUAGCAAACAGGAUUAGAUACCCCGGGUAGUC